GUUAGCAUUCCCUCCAUUUCUGUCCUGGCCCUCCCCUCCUGAAAAAGGAAGCACAGGUCUGAUUUGCUCAAGGCUGGGGGUAGGAAAAGGAAAGCCUUCCCAGGAGGUCUGCUGCUGAGCAAAGAAUCCCACAAGAUGCAGAUUUAGGCUCUGGCUACACCUGGGGUCCCAGGUCUACCCCACCCAGGUCCCUUCUGUAGCUGAGGCUAAGUACUGGUCACAUCCAUGUCUCUCUGCUAUCGGCCCUGGCCUGUCAUAGCAUUUUUCCGGAUUAAGCACUCAGAAACCAGUAAACAAACAGGGGAUCUAAUGUAGGUCUGUUCUUGGUUAUCAAAGGACCUAAUCUGAACAGGGUGUAAUAGAAAUCCCAGUCCAGGACUUUUCUCACGUGGGACUCAUUUCUUGACUCAGUGGGGCAAGCAGUGAGUGGAGGAGUUUUCACUAGGAAAGCCUGAAAGAUGUGAGCAAGGGACCUUUGGGAUGGUAUGAGACCAAAGUUAUGUUUUAAGUUUUAAUUAGUAUGUCUACAAGAUCCUUGAAACAAAAAUGCCUCUGACCUCUAAGCCCCUUGCCCGAGGACAGAUAGUUCCUGAAAUGCUGGAGGCUAUUGUUUAUGGGAGACAAUAAGUCAUGUGUUUGCACUCCCCUAAAGAAAGUCUAUUUGACUCAACUACACAGGGUAUGCUUGAUCACAUGUGGGCAGGAAGUAAAUAGGCUGGGAGUACAUCAGGAUAUAUGCUUGUCCUUGAUUGGACCUGAUGGGAAAUUUGGGCUUUGCCUUUUUAAGCCCCUGCUAACCAUGACUCAGGGUCAUUUACCUGGGAACCUGGAUAUGGACCCAGCCAGUGGCCAUUAACCUGAUGGCCACAUUCCUAUCGUGUCCUCACAUGACUGGAAGAGAGGAAGGAGGUCCUGGUUGAUGCCUCUUUCUAUAAGGAUGCUGGUCUCACCCUGGGGUGUCCACCCUCAUGACCUCAUCAAGCCUCAUUACCUCCUAAAUACCACCAUUGACUGUGGCUUCAAUAGCAGUGUGUAAAUGGAAAAGAAGUGGGGAUGCCAGGCUAGCGACAGCACCUCAGCCAUCUGCAGAGCCUGGCGUCAGCCAACAGACUGCGUGAGAGCAUUCCCUGAGGGAAAGGUGCUGUGUCCAGCUGAGAGCAGAUGUCAACUGCUACAUAUUGAGGGAGAUGGCGAGACCCAGUAGGAAUGGUGACAGAGGCAGGCUAUCUGGGGGCAUUCCAGGCGGCCCCUUUCCCAGCUGUGCCACCUCCAACAAUUUACAUACCCCCCCACCCAUAAUGUACUUGUAUGAAAACACAGACACACACACACACACACACACACACACACACACACAGACAGACACACAGACACAGACACACACACACACACACACACACACAGACAGACAGACAGACACACACACACACACACACACACAGACAUACAGUACAUGACAUGAUAUAGAGGACAAUCUACAAGGUAGACAGAGUGUAAUGAUGGAAUGAUAAUGCCAGAUGUGAACCUUUGGAAGGCAGGGAGGCUGAGGCAGGAUGAUUCCUUGAAGCUGGAGGCCAAUCUGGGCUACAGUGAGAUUCUAUCUCAAAACCAAGGCAAGCCAUCUAGAGAGAAAGAGAACAAAAAAAAGAAAGAGAGAGAGAGAGGACGGGAGGUAGGAAGAAAGGAAGGAAGAAGAGUUAGAUGAAAGAAUUCCACAGUGAGCUCCUGAGGGGUCAGGUUCUGUGAGCCCGGAACAAAGGCAGCUUUCAGCAGAUGCAGUAGCUGAGUGCAAUCUUGGAGGAGGACUUGCUGAAGGCGAAGGAAGACAGGUGAAAGAGGGAAGGAGUGAGGCAUCAGGAGGGAACAAAGGAUAUAAAGUGCCGAAGCCUACAUGAAGGAGAUAGGGGAUGUUCAGCCCCAACUUUGCCCUGUCUUUUGAGGCCCCAUAAAACUAAUGGACUUGGGAUGGGAUCCUUUCAAAAGUGCCCUGGAAGCCAGAUGGGAAGCUUAUGUAAUUGUUUUCACUCUAAAGCAAGCUCGGGUGAAAGUAAUGAUGCCUGCUCCUUCCUGCAGGGCAAGAAGGUACUGGUUCAACUGCCCUCCGCCCUCCACCUUUUCUGGUCCACAGCUGCUGGGAUGGGUCCUCUCAGUGCCUUGCAGAUGGAAAUGUAGCACUCUGUGUAGCAUCCCUGUGCAGGCAGUUGCUGGGAUUUGCAGUUUUGCCGCCCUGCUGGUCUUCACUUAAACACAAAUCACAUUAUCUUUGAACUUCCUUCUGAGUCUAUGCUUAAAUUUACUCAUUAAUGGAGUUAAGAAUCCUGAGAGGAAAUCCCAGCUCCCCCGGUAACAUGUGGCACCCCAGCUGGGGCCCUUCAGAAUUUCUGAUAACAAUUGGACCAG
rnacentral:lncRNA from 1 species